GGCUAACCUCUGGGAAAUUUGUUUGCUGAGCGGAAUGGCCUAGGAAUGGGUGAAACGAAAAUGGGGCCACAGUCAUCAAACCAACUAUGUGAAGUUUAUAAGAGGUCAAAGGCGGCCAUCUAGGUAUGCCCGUUCAUACAAGCCCUCUCCCACAUGGCCCCCCACGCCGCUCUAGAUACUGAUAAAUAAUUAUAUCUAACAACACUACCUAGCUAUCUUGCUACCUGCUCAAUAUUCAACUGAUUGCUAAUAGAAUAAAGAUCUCGAUUCAAGUAGAUAGUCCUAGCUAGCUAGAUGCCUAUCUGCUUUACUCACUACAUUCAUCAUUCAUAUUAGAAUGGAGAUUUCUAUCGAGCUCGCUUACUACUUGCCCACCCACUGUAUAUUCUAUCACCUACAUAAGUUGCAGCACUUCACUCUAUUUUUGCCUGCAGUUUCCAUAGGCCCCGUACCCUCUGCAAUGAGGGUCUUGAGGCUUCAUCCCCAAUUAAAAUAACAUGGAAUCAACAAAUCAUUUGCCCCUAGAAUUUGACAGCACAUUUGCCACCUCCAGCAAUAUUCUAUACUGUUUUAAAGAUAUCAAGAAGAAUAGAUUGUAUUAAGAAUAACAGAUACAUUAUGAGAAUGGGAGAAGACUGUGAUUUGAUGAUGGAUGGUUGAUUAGACGGAGCGAAGCGAAGUCUAAGAAUCAUACGAAUCUCCAGGGGAAAUCAAUGUUUGCGAAAAUGCGGCCGAAGUUUCAGUG
rnacentral:sRNA from 2 species